AAAAAAAAAUUUGAUUGAGCCUACAUCCACCAAUUUCUCAUUUAGAUUGUUUGCACUCUUCCUUUCUUGUUGUGCAUUGCUAUUUGCUAUGGCUACAUGAGAUCCUCCUGCCAUUUAUCUUAUGUUCGUAUGUUAGUGAUGAGAAACCUUGUAACAAUUUCAUGAAUAGAGA